rnacentral:rRNA from 1 species
GACGAACGCUGGCGGCGCGCUUAACACAUGCACGUCUGGUGGCCGGGCGACCCGUCUCCGGCGAACGGGUGCGCAACCCGUGAGCGACCUGCCCUGUGUGUGGGGGAUAGCUGGCCUACCGGCCCGUCAAUACCGCAUACGUCCCGCGCUUGGAGGCGCUGAGCGACAGCCGGGAAGGGCGCAAGCGGCUGGCCUUGCGGCCUAUCAGCGAGGUGGGGGGGUAACGGCCCACCAAGGCGACGACGGGUAGCUUGUCUGAGAGGAUGGCCAGCCACAUGGGGACUGAGAGACGGCCCAGACUCCUACGGGAGGCAGCAGUGGGGAAUCUUGCGCAAUGGGCGAAAGCAUGACGCGGCGACGCGGCGUGGAGGAUGAGGCCCUUCGGAGUGUAAAAUCCUGUUGCUCGGGACGAACGGCGGGCAUCGGCCCGCUUGACGGUACCGGGUGAGGAAGCACCGGCUAACUCUGUG